CUGCACUGAUGACUUCUUAGGACACCUUUGGAUUACCCAUGAAAACAACCUGUUGAACUCUGAGCAGC
rnacentral:snoRNA from 1 species